GAUGAACGCUGGCGGCGUGCCUAAUACAUGCAAGUCGAGCGAACGGACGAGAAGCUUGCUUCUCUGAUGUUAGCGGCGGACGGGUGAGUAACACGUGGAUAACCUACCUAUAAGACUGGGAUAACUUCGGGAAACCGGAGCUAAUACCGGAUAAUAUUUUGAACCGCAUGGUUCAAAAGUGAAAGACGGUCUUGCUGUCACUUAUAGAUGGAUCCGCGCUGCAUUAGCUAGUUGGUAAGGUAACGGCUUACCAAGGCAACGAUGCAUAGCCGACCUGAGAGGGGGAUCGGCCACACUGGAACAGAGACACGGGGCAGAGUCCUCAGGGAGGCAGCAGUAGGGAAACUUCCGCAAUGGGCGAAAGCCUGACGGAGCAACGCCGCGUGUGUGAUGAAGGUCUUCGGAUCGUAAAACUCUGUUAUUAGGGAAGAACAUAUGUGUAAGUAACUGUGCACAUCUUGGCGGUACCUAAUCAGAAAGCCACGGCUAACUACGUG
rnacentral:rRNA from 1 species